UACGUAGGGGGCGAGCGUUGUCCGGAAUUAUUGGGCGUAAAGAGCGUGUAGGCGGCUAGAUAGGUCCGUUGUGAAAACUCGAGGCUCAACCUCGAGACGUCGAUGGAAACCAUCUGGCUAGAGUCCGGAAGAGGAGAGUGGAAUUCCUGGUGUAGCGGUGAAAUGCGCAGAUAUCAGGAGGAACACCGGUGGCGAAGGCGGUUCUCUGGGCAUUACCUGACGCUGAGGAGCGAAAGUGUGGGGAGCGAACAGG
rnacentral:rRNA from 1 species